rnacentral:snRNA from 1 species
AUCGCUUCUCGGCCUUUUGGCUAAGAUCAAGUGUAGUAUCUGUUCUUAUCAGUUUAAAAUAGUGAGUAAGGUCUUAUAAGUGAAGUUUCAGGACCAGUAAAAGGUGUUGCUUCUAUUCUUAAUUUAUGCUUAGGAUUUAAAUAAAACCUCAGAGGUAGCUCCUGAGAGUUCCCAGAUUUACCUCUGUGUGGGCAGCCAUG